rnacentral:lncRNA from 1 species
GAUUUUUAAGAAGUAUGCAAAUUUUGAAUUGAGAUCGACAGUUUAUUCAUUAGAUAUUGAGGUUUAAAUCUGUCAUAGGAAUUACUAGGAUUUGGAUUAGGAAUUAGGGUUUGGUUAGGGUUUGAUUUAGGGUUUGGAUUAGGGUUUCGUUAGGAUUUGAUUUAAGAUUUGGAUUAGGGUUGAGGGUUGAUUUAGGCUUUGAUUUAGGAUUUAGGGUUUGAAAUAGGGUUUGAUUUGGGAUUUAAUUUAAGGUUUGUUUAAGAUUUGACUUAGGGUUUAGGAUUUAUUAGGGUUUGAGAUUUAAUUAGGUUUGGUCUAAAGUUUGAGUGAAAUUCAAUAGGAUUUUAACUAGAAUUAAUUUAAGGUUGAAUUGACAUAUAUUUGAGUAAUAUUUGUGAUCAUUCUAAUAUUUCUUUAAGAAUUUUAUUGUUUGUUUGAAAUUUCUUUGAGUUGUUUUGAAUUUGAUUACGUUUUUUUACCAUUAUUAUAGUCUAAUUAGAGCAUUGUUAGUAUUCUAUUAGAAUUA